rnacentral:rRNA from 1 species
CCUACGGGGAGCAGCAGUGAGGAAUAUUGGUCAAUGGACGCGAGACUGAACCAGCCAAGCCGCGUGAGGGAAGACGGUACUAUGAAUUGUAAACCUCUUUUGUCAGGGAGCAAACGCAGCGACGCGUCCCCGUCUGAGAGUACCUGAAGAAAAAGCAUCGGCUAACUCCGUGCCAGCAGCCGCGGUAAUACGGAGGAUGCGAGCGUUAUCCGGAUUUAUUGGGUUUAAAGGGUGCGCAGGCGGUAGGUUAAGUCAGCGGUCAAAUCCCGGGGCUCAACCCCGGCUAGCCGUUGAAACUGGUCGUCUUGAGUGUGAGAGAAGUAUGCGGAAUGCGUGGUGUAGCGGUGAAAUGCUUAGAUAUCGCGCAGAACUCCGAUUGCGAAGGCAGCAUGCCGGCGCACCACUGACGCUGAGGCACGAAAGCGUGGGUAUCGAACAGGAUUAGAUACCCCAGUAGUC